CCCUAACAGUCAUAAUAAUGUGACUGACUCAGCCAGAUAGGAGGUUUAUAUG
rnacentral:ncRNA from 1 species